UACGUGCUCGACCACGGGUUGCGUGAGA
rnacentral:sRNA from 1 species